AUCAUCCCCACCUUUUUGGGGUUGGUUUCAUCACUUUUCCAGCCAGUGAAGCCAACCAAUUCCUUUCUACUAACUACCAUAAUAAAUGAGUGGCAAGAAAGGAAAAGGGAGAGGCUUUUUGUAUUGGAUGGCUGGCUAUAGAGGCCAUAAGCAUGUUCAAGAAACUUUCUGUGCUUGAGCUUUAGAUAAACUACAUGAUCUACCACUGUUGGAAGAAACAUCAUCAACUCAACUAAACUCAAAUCCAAAAAUAUGACGCAGUCUGCACCAGCACAGCAGAAGAUAUACUAUGAUCACGCUCAGACGGGUCGUGAGGAGAAGGAAAGCUUCUAUGCUUUUUUGUACACACUCUGUUGCUGCUUUUGCUGUUAUGAGAGUUGUAGGUGCUGCUCAGAACGCACCUGCUGUUGCUGUCCCUAGAUGGUCUAAUUUCCAAGAGACGAUUGUCAAGUUUAUGUUUCAUCCUUACUUUGUUGUAUGAAAUGAUGAUUCUGGAAGCCAAUAAGGAGUGAUCUUCUGUAUAAUUGUGCACUUCAAUUGUUUUUUGUUUUUAUGA